rnacentral:snoRNA from 10 species
UAUUCCAAUGAUGCAAGUGUGUCAUGAACUAAGGAUUAUGAUUAAUCCAAUUUUGUAGCUAGAGGGAUUUU